rnacentral:rRNA from 1 species
GACGAACGCUGGCGGCGUGCUUAACACAUGCAAGUCGAACGGAAAGGCCCUGCUUGCAGGGUACUCGAGUGGCGAACGGGUGAGUAACACGUGGGUGAUCUGCCCUGCACUUCGGGAUAAACCUGGGAAACUGGGUCUAAUACCGGAUAGGAGCCAUUUUUAGUGUGAUGGUUGGAAAGUUUUUUCGGUGUAGGAUGAGCUCGCGGCCUAUCAGCUUGUUGGUGGGGUAAUGGCCUACCAAGGCGGCGACGGGUAGCCGGCCUGAGAGGGUGGACGGCCACAUUGGGACUGAGAUACGGCCCAGACUCCUACGGGAGGCAGCAGUGGGGAAUAUUGCACAAUGGGCGCAAGCCUGAUGCAGCGACGCCGCGUGGGGGAUGACGGCCUUCGGGUUGUAAACUCCUUUCGCUAGGGACGAAGCUUUUUGUGACGGUACCUAGAUAAGAAGCACCGGCUAACUACGUG